rnacentral:snRNA from 1 species
AUGCUUACUUUGGCAACACAUAUACUAAAAUUAGAACCAUACAGAGAUUAGCCUGGCCCCUGCAUAAGGAUGACACACAAAUUCUUGAAGUGUUCCAUAUUUUC